GGGCUCAUAGCUCAGUUGGUUAGAGCGUUGCAUUCACAUUGCAAAGGCCCCAGGUUCGAGUCCUGGUGAGCCCA
rfam:Microgenomates (Daviesbacteria) bacterium GW2011_GWA2_40_9 TT29_C0008, whole genome shotgun sequence.